rnacentral:lncRNA from 1 species
AUGUAUAUGGCCUAUAUUCUUGUAUAAGUAUAAGUACUGUAAAUAAUUUUCUAAAGAGACAAGCAGCUAUUUGGCUCAACUGAGCCGGAAGACUUCCCAAUGGCGUUAAUGCAUGACGAAUGAGCCGCCUCAUUUUUAUAGGUCAGCUUAACAUCUUCCAAGGUAAUAUCACUGCAUGGAUUUUCCUUGCUGCAGUCAAAUUUUACUGCAGUUUCUGUUGCCGAACUCCCAUGUCUGUCUUGAUAUGUUACAUCACUAAUCUUCACGCCUGAAACCUGAAAAAAUUAAGACCGCUUUGCAUAAUUAAUUUACAAUUGAAUGGUAUAUAUUAAUUUUAUUUUUUUAAUAAUGAGUUCCCAUGUCUUAAUUACCUGACUGGGGCAAUUAUGGUCGUCGGGACAGUAAUUUCGAUCAAUAAUUAUGGGGUUUUCAACAUUAACCAUGACUAAAUGCUGGAAAAGAAUAUUUUAAAGAAUCCAUUGCUUGGCCUGGCCCAUGUCUUCACCCUCGCCCCAUUUUGAGUUCCUGUAAAUGUAGCUGAUUUAACUGUCACAUUUUGCACUCCAAGUUCUUGCAAAUCCCAGCCUAGACUCCCAAUGCUGCAGAAAAGGAGCACAAAUUAGUUAACUCAGCUAAAUAAAUUGUUGGGAUACAUUACGUUAUACUUCCUCUGCUCCAAAAAAUAGAAUUGCUUUCCUUUUUUAUCUAUCCCAAAUAAAGGUCACUUUCCUUGUUGAGAUUAUAAUUAAUUUCUUAGUUUUCUAAUAAAGUCCUAUUUGAAGUGUCUUGUUAUCAACAAAUAUGAAUUAUUCUUAUUUAAGCCAUUAUGUAAUGUAGAAAUAUGUUAGGAAAAAAUAAAAGAAAAAUUUAUAUUUUCAACUAUAUAACUUACAUGUUUCUUAAUUCGUGUGAAAAUAGAAAUAUGUUUAUCUUUGUGGGUCAUAAGGAGCCUGAUUAUAUCUAUUUUAAUGAAGAUUGUGUAGUUGAAAAUAAGUAUUGUAGAAAAAAUAAUGUAGUAAAAUGGUUGACAAACAAAAGUUAUAUCUAUUGUGGCUAUCAAUUUUUAAUUUACGUUUUUAGUACCUAAUUCCAUGGCCAGGGUCGCAUGCAAUGGUCUCAAUCCACAAGUUCGAGGUGCCGGGGCCUAUAGAGAGACAAUCAUCUCCGGUGCCAAUCCGAGAGUUCAUAAUUGUGACUCCUGUUGAUUUCUCCACGUGAAUUCCGUCAGUGUUUGGGCUGUUGCCCGGUGCAGAAACCUUUAUUCCCACUAGCUUGGCAUUGUGGCAUCCAUCAACAAGAAUGUUGAACUUCUGGCUAUUUAUUGAAGACAAUCCAUUCAUUAUGAUGUUGUUGGAAUCGUAGAAGGCCAGUGUCCGAGCAAGAAAGAAUCAAAAAAUUACGUUAGAAUGUACAACAUGACAAAAAGUAAAAUCCACUUUCUUCUUUAUUAACAUACCGUUGCUCCGGUUGGACAACUCUUGCCGGAAUUUUUGCAAGCCCACAAAUUAGCCCCUUGGGCAUCUAGGGUUCCACCAAUAACAGAAACGCCGGUCACACUUUCGAACUUGAUCCAGUUACCAGAAUUUCCUAUAACAUUGAAAUCAGAUGGAGCUACUAGUGUCCCAUCAAUUUGGAUCGUUAUAGCAGUGUUUUUGCAUGACUUGCCGGCAAAAGUUGCAGCUCCGAGCAAGUAUAUUCCCGGUGGCACGUAAAUGGUAGCUGGCUGUGUAGAAGCACAUGCUGAGGUCCAUGCACUCAAGAACGCCUUGGUACAAUCAGUUUUUCCAUCAGAUUUUGCUCCCAAACUUUGGACAUUGUAAUUAGCAUUGGCUGCAAUUGAUGAGUAGUGGAAGAAUGUCAAGAGGAAAUAUUGGAAAGCAAGGAAAAAACUUAAAGCUCCAGCCAUUUUUUUUUCGUAUGUAUGUGUGUGUUAUAGAGAUAGGGGGAGAGAGAGAAAGAGAGAGGGGAUGAGGAGAUGAAGCAGUUAUAAGAGGUAUUUAUAGGGUAUAAUUUGAGUGCAAAUUUAAACAGUGAUGGUGUUUAUGAGAAGAAAAAUUGUUUGGACAAAUGAGAAUUUCAAGUUAUUUAGCUCAAUAAGAAAAAUAUGUAUGGCAAUAUAAGAAAGGAAUCUUGUUUUUUUAUACCUAUUUCUUAAGAGAUAUUGCAUAGAAUAAAAAAAAUGUCAGUUAAAUUGUGGCUAAAGAAACAAAAUACAGGCACAUGGUUGAAUAUUUGUUUGGACAAAUAAGAAAUUCAACUUAUUUAUAAUAGGAUCCUUGAAAGUUAAAACCCUAUAUAAAGAAAUCUUUUUAAUUGAAGUAACGACGUCUUACAUGACAUAUACAUGACAGUUUGUUAUUUGAUAUAUAAGAUUCAUACAUCAAAUAACAAACUGUUACGUAUAUACCACGUGAGACGAUUAUUAUUACUAAACCUUUGAUAAAGAAAGAAAUUGGAAUUGUUCUUAUCUUCUUGUCCCCCUCUCUCUUCUCUUCAUCUCUCCCUUUUUUCCGUUCUAUAAUUGUUCUACUGCAUACUACAUCACUGUUAUAAAAGGUAGAAUCAUCAAUACAAGGAAUAAUCAAAAGCGUGCAAUUUGACAAGGUCAACAAUCUACGAUUGCAACGCAAUUUACAUAAUCUACAAUUUCAUUAUGAAUGCAUUUUUUGCAAUGUUGAUUUUCUUUUGGCUAUUCCACGUGCCUGAGGAUUUGGGGUUCUUGGAUGCACAUUAUUUCAAUUUAAAUCAACUAUAUACCCAGUUAUUACUAGGCUUUAUUUCAGGCCGAACCCAGACUUCUACUGCUAUAGAGUCAAAAAUUUAUAUAUAAUUUUUUUUUAAAUAACCUAAUAUUAAUGAAAUAAGUCAAUACAUAUUAUGAUACUUUAAAAAUGUCAUAUAAUUACAUUAUUAUCAAUAUUAUUAAAUAAAUUUUGCUACUUGUAUAGUUUUGUUUACCAUUUCGUAAAUGAAUUGAAAUAAAUUUCAAGUUUAAUCCAGAAAGUAUAGUUUUGAUACUUUAAAAAUGUCAUAUAAUUUUGCUACAUGUGUCCAUAAAUAAAUAAAUUUAAUUGCUGAAACUCUACUUUUAUAUAUCUCUCUAAUUCAGUAUUAAAUUGUAAAGAAAAUUUUAUGGACAUUAAGUACACAUUUAUGAAAGCGUACUUCAUAUUUGAAUUAGAAUGAAACGUCACAACUCACAAUAAAAUUUAAAGGUUGACUUAGUUAAUAUUAUAUAUAGGUUUCCGCUGUAACACGUCAUAAUAAAUAAAUAAGUAAAAAGUAAAAUUUUGACUUAAAUCCUCUUGUCAUUAUUUGUUGUGUAUAUAUUUAACUUUUGAACGAAGAAUGAAUUUCAUCACUACACAAAACACUUAUUGAAUACAAUUUUAUAAUGGAAAAAAGAUAUUGUUCACGUUGUUGUUUGCAUCAUCGUCAGAAUUGUUAAGUAUGGUGACAAGUUUCAAAUAAUUCGUAGAUUUGAUUCCUUCCAACAACUAAAUCAUUAUUUUAGCUGAGAAAUUAAACCAAUAUCCAUUUGGUCAAAAAUAUUAGUUACAGCUCAAAUUUCUUGCUUAUAAAUUUAGUCCAGAGUUUCAAAAAUAAAUUAAACUGACCAAAGUAAUGAAUAGUUUGAACUAGUGUUUUUUUCCUUCGUAAAAUGAGACAUAAUUUUAAUAGUCUUUUAAUCGAGACAUUUACUUUAAUAAUAAAACUGAAGUCCCCUGCUGUGUUCCUAACAUGUUACACAAUUUCAAAAUAGUCUAAUUUUAUUCUUUGUAAGGACAAAAGUACCUCCUAACUUUCCAUUUCUAUCUCGAUUCAAGUUCUGAGGUAGGGCGUUCUUUCCUUAUAGUCCAAAUUAUCAUCUAUAGAUGUAGUAGGAGAUGUGUCAAAUCCUGCCCCCACAUUGAUUUUCUAUUGAGGCAAUAAAAUCCAGAACAAGCUUUGGUGCUGCUUUAACUAACACAUUAUAAUUAGAGUCCUUAAUAAACCCUUCUUAAAUUACAUCAAAAUUACCUAGAUUUAAGUAACAAUAGGGUACAAUAAAUAUAUAGGAAUGGAUAGCCAACGAACUAAUAAUGAAUAGAAAUAAAAUUAAGGUGUUAAUUCAUUAAUUGAUCAACAGCCAUUCUUUCUGCUAAUAGUAAAGUUGAAGAUUAAUUUCCAGCGAGAAUGUUGCCUAAAUUACUCAUUUCUCAUUUGAGUUGCAAAUACUGCCUUUUUAAUUUCAACCCUUUUUGUUAUCCGUUAUAUCAACCCUUUUUAAUUUCAACCCUUUUUAAUUUCACUUUAUGAGAUCCAUGAUUUUAAAUUCUAAAUAAAAAUAAAUAAAUACAAUGAAACAAUAGAUUUAAACCACUUUUUUUUUUGAAUAGUGAAUUUUUGGAAAAUGCAUAGUUAAAAGAAAAAUGUUUUAGAUUUACAUGCAACAUUAUUUUGUGGGAGAAUAUGUGGUUGAAAAUGAGUUUUACAAAAAGGUAUUUUUUGAAAGCUAUUGAAGCCCCUACGUGGCUUAUUAACUUGCUUAAUUUUCACUGUAGUCACGAUCUAAUGCAAUGCGUCAUCAGAGGGAAGGCCUCACGGAAGUGUGUAUUAGGAUUCAUAGCAGAAGAUAUAUUUUUUCUUGGGGAAUAUAUUAACUUAAUUAAUUACUUAAUAAAUGUUAAACUGUUUUAUUUGCAAUGAUGUUACUUGAAAUUACAAUGACGGCUGUUCCUACAAUAUUCUACUUUAUUUUGAGCAUAACAAAAGUUUAUCCUUGUCUAUGCCCUGUUUGAGCUCCUUUAUCAAAAAUCUCAUUUUCUCCUAAAUUUAUUUUCAAUCACAUCUUUUUAAUAAAAUAACGUUGUAAGCGUGAUUCCCCAAAAAUUAGUUUUUUCUAUUAAGCGUGAUUCCAUUUCUGGCAGUCGUUGGUAAAUGUUAGGCCCUGUAAUUAGUAUAGUUUAUGUAGAGGUCAAAAUAAUCACAUGCAUUGCUCAGGAAAAAUGGUAGGCCCUGUAAUUAGUAUAGUUUAUGUAGGGAUUUAUUAAAUUUUGCUUUUUAAGGUAAUUAUUUGAAUUAAACCAAAUCUUUUCAAACUGGUUCAUGCAAUUCUUAGUGCGCCAAUUACGAAAAUAUAUAUCGUAAUAUAGGCAGAAGAUUGAGGCAAAAACUUAUAGGAUCUACACUCAUUCUAAAUGAUUUUCUAAUUAUACAAGCAACUAUUUAGCUGAACUGAGGCAGAAGACUUCCCGUCGGCAUUAAUGCAUGACGACUGAGCCGAUUCAUUGCAACUAGAGGAGGCCCUGAGGGUAAGCGACCGCACAAAGACUCAAAAUUGUAGGAGCACCAAAAUUUUGUUGUUGUUAUAGUUGUAUAUUUAUUAAUAAUUAAAUAUUUAACAUAUAUAUUAAUUUUAAAACAUAAAAUUUUUAUCAUUAUGCAUAAGAUAUUAAAAUUAAGAAUAUGUGACUAACUAAUUAUAAUUUCCUUGAAUAUAAUAUUCUUAAAUAGUAUUCCUACUUUAGAUAAUGUGAGGGACAAGGGAAAAGUCGAAAAGAGAUCAGGCCGGCCAGAGAAUUGAGAGAAAAAAGAAAAAUUGAGCAACCGCCUUUACCAAUCGUCUUUUUGGAGAAAAUAAUUAAAGAAAUCAACUGUGUUUUCCAGUUGCCUCAAAGAUAAUUGAGGCAAAGUAGAGAGAAACCAACCGUCUUUUUUGAGAAACCGUCUUUUUUUCCAAUCAUCUUUGAUCUGGCUUCAGAAAUUUCUCUCUUUUCCUUAACCGACGAUUGACAAUUCAUAUUUUUCAUUAACUUCUCACUAAAAAUCUGAAUUACCUGUUAUAUUUUCUUUAUUUUUUUUUUUGUCAAUCUCGUUUCGUGAUUUCAUUGAUUUGAAUUCACUUUGCAAGAACUUAUUAAAAUUUGAAUUCGCUUUGCCUGAAUGUGGGGAUUGAGGAAGCACGACAUAAUUUUCCUUCAGAGAAGUUGAACACUUACAAGUGAGUUUUUGUUUCCUCAACAUAUUUUUCUUCAAUAAUUUCUCCGAAUAUUCAAGAAAAUAUAAAUUCUUUUGUUAAUAUAUUUUCAAUGUUCUCGAGAUGAGUUCACUGUUCAUAAUUUAUAAUUACUAAUUUAAUAAGUGAAAUCAAUUAAUUUUAAGAGAUUUACUGUUAAAUGAAAUUAAUUAAUUGUGAAAAUGGAUUUGCUGUUCAUAAUUUAUAAUUACUAAUUUAAUAAGUGGUUUCAAUUAAUCGUGAAGUGAAUUCUGCUAAUGAAAUUGAUUCAUUUAAUUUUUACUAUCCUUUUCAAAAUUAAAGUUAUUAAAAUCUUAUUUAUGAUCAACCAUGUUACAAGAAUGAUUGAAUAGAUUAGCGUUGAUAUCUAUUGAACAAGACUUUCUAGAAAAUAUUAAUUACGAAAGUACAAUUAGUGAGUUUGCUUCUAAAAAUGCAAGAAGAAAUAUUUUUAUAUAAUUUGUUGCUAGAUUUUUUCAACGUUUGCUUAUAUAGAAUUGCACGAAGAUGCUAGUGGCUUGGAUAGUUCUUUGUUGAUUACAUAUGAAUUUUGAUGAAGCUCGAGAGAUGCUUUUAAGCUUUAUUUAUGUUUUUCUUGUUCAUGUAUGUAAAUAAAAAUUUAAAAAUAUAUAUUUAAAUAUCAUAUUUUUGCAAUCAAAUAAUAUAUUUGAAAUAAUUUUUUUUUAAUAUAUGUUUUAGUUACUUGAAGGGGGCACCAUUUUAAAAUCUCGCACAGAGCAUACAAAAUUUUAGGACCGGCUCUGAUUGCAACUUCUGUUGACGAAUUUCCGUAUGUCUUGAUAUGUUAUAUCACUAACCUGAAACCUGAAAAAAAAAUAAUAAUAAUAAAAUCAAGACCCUUCUUCAGGAUUAAUUUAGCAAGUUCGUGAUAUGCGGGCCUGAAAAUCAGCUUGUGGACAAGUUUGUAGUUGACUGGACUAAAGUUCAAUGAGGCGGUUACUCUCAGCAGUUAUAUGCCAAGCAAUUAACAUGUGCAAAGCAGUUUCUACAGGCGAGUUGUUUAUCCGUCUGGUAGGGGCAAUUUCCAGGUAGUUUAUGUUGGAAAUAUAAUAGAGUAACGACUUUAAAACCAAAAACAAACUUACCAACCUUACCGAAAAUUGGACAGAAUAAUGGCAAAGAAACAAGAAAAUUAGUGUUCUGGGUGGGAAACUUUUGAAUUCUUUCCCUAAUUGCUGGCGGUGUCAGCCAUACGAAUUUGUUAGAUGCUCAGGGCAUGAGACACAAAAGCAUAGAGUGCAUUGUUGUAAUCCAUUGUCAAGUUUCGUGGGUGUUCUGUUAUUGUGAUGAUAAAAGUUGGGGACGUAUUUUCGUGUACUUCAUGUGUGCGUUUAUAAAUUAUGUCCCUUUCAUAAAGUUCUGCAUUCCUUCAUUACAUAAAGAAACCUGAGUGCAAUUAGGUGGCUGACUUAAGAAACUUGUAUUAUAGGCGAAUAUUUACCCCAUCAACUUUGACCCCAUAACAAUAGACAACAAACUAAUGAUGAAUAGAGACAAAAUUAAGAUGGUAAUUAAUUAUUUGACCCAUAUGCCAUUCUUUCUCUACAUAGUUCAAAUUGAAGAUUAAUUUCCGGUGAGAAUGUUGCCUAAUUCACUCAUUUAUCAUUUUAAGUUACAAAUACUUUCAGUCUUCUUUAUUUUCAACCCAUUUUGUUAUCAGUUUCGUCAACAGUUGAAAUUUCACUUUAUUAAAUCCACGUUUUUUCAAUUCUGAUUAUAAAAGUAUGUGAACUUUUCCCUGCAUUCCUUCAAAACAAUAAGUACUAAUGACCCUAACACGUCUUAUUAACUUGUUCAAUUUUCCCUACAUUCAUGAUCAGAUGCAGUGCGUCAUUAGAGGGAAAUCCUCACGAAAAUGUGUAUUAGGAUGAAGAUAUGUUUUCAAGAUCGACCCUAAUAUUUUGUGGGCCUUAUACCAACUUUAAAUUUGGGGCCCCGUUGAAGAAAAAUUAUGGGAUAAUUAGGCCCAAUAAGGCCCAUUAAUCGAAAAAUUGAUAAUUACCCUUUCACUUUGCAAACUUUCAUUACCCAUACAAUAUAUGUUCUCAGAAGAAAGAUGGAUGCAAUUCAACCCCAACCAAUCCGUCAAAAAGUGAUUUCUCUUUGCCAAUAUCUGGGUGAUUUAUCACACAGGUUCCUUGGCUUUUCUUGAGAUAAAUUGGUUGCGCCUCUUCUUGCUCCUCUUCAUGGCUGCCUUUCUUCUCUCUUCAGCCGGCACUCUAAUUGGCACUUGAGCAACAGACUUUGGACUCUGUCCCGUGCGUUUUUCCCCUGCUCAUCGCCCCAUUCAUUGUCCUUGUUUGGCUGCCUCUGUGUGCAGCGUUUCGAUCUAUUCUUAGAUUAUUCUUCUGUGAUCUUUGAGUGAGUAAUCUUGGUCCAAUUUGGGCAGUAUUGCUGUGUGAUUUUGGGCCCUUGAUCUGAGCCCGAAUUUAUCCACUUUUGGAGCCAAUCAAUUGGAGUUUUGAUAGUAAAGUAUUGUUAUUUCAUUUACUCAAUUAAUUCUCCUUGUCAAUUGAUUAUAUAACUAACUUUGUGUUGAUUAUUUGGUUGUUUGGUGAUGAUAUCUCCACAAACUCGUAUCAGAACCAAUUUUUUUUGGCACCGUGACUUCGAAAUCAAUCAUUGUGUGUUGAGAAUUAAUCUGCUAUUAAACUAAACGUGUGUUCGUGGUGCAAAUAUUGAUGGCAAAUGUUGUAGAGUUCAUAGAACAAUGUUUACGAAUAUCCAUUAGCCUUUAUUCGACCUAUGUAUUGAGAUACAAAUAUUGUGUUAUGAUUUUGUCCACCAUAAUCCCCUGUCUCCUAAUUUAAAGCUCUGUUAGUAUCGUAGGAAAUGACACAAUCAGGAGUAGGGCUUUCCUUGGUCUCGUUGGUAAUCUAGUCUUUCUAGAUUUUGAAGGGUAUGGAUAUAAAUCCACACCCUUGAUCACCACCAUCUUAGUUUAGAGACUCCAAAUACUAUUCUCUGUAUGGUCAUUUUUUGGGGAGAGGGGUAAUAAAAGGAUAAAAGUAAAAGAAAAAAACAAAAAAUUCACAUCUGGAGUGGACUAUAAUUAGCUCUAGAUGCAAAUAUACAAAUCACUAUCGUGGGAGUGGGUGGUGGUGGUCAAUUUAGACUGAAACGUGUGAGUAUUUAUUGUUAAGGCUUUAUCAAAAGAGAUUGUCACUUUUUUGUUUUCGCAUUUCUUUUUUCAAAUUUUCUUAAUUUUUUUCAAUUUUUUGUCACUUUUUUUGAAAAUUUGUCAUUUUAUUGAACUUUUUUACCAAAAGUCUUAACAGAUGAAAUAGAUACUAAUUAUUCAAUAAGAAAACCACUAUCAUACUAUUUUUAUCACUUUUGUUUAGUGUUUGUCACUUUCUUUUUUUUUUGAAUUUCGUCACUUUUUUUAUUUUUCGUCACUUUUUUUUUUUAAAUUUACAUCACUUUUUUGAGUUAGUAACUUUUUUUGAAUGUGUCAUUUUAAAAAAAAAAAAAUUGUCACUUUUUUUUUGGCUACUUUUUGAGUGUGACACCUUUUAUAUUCUUUCAAUUUUUUUUAUAUGUGUAGCUUUUUUUAAUUAAUAUCAAUUUUUUUAAUUGUUCACUUUUUAAAAUUUCUACCACUUUUUUUGGAUUUUUGUCACUUUUUAAAAAAAUUUAUCACUUUUUUUUUAGUGUUUAUCACUAAUUUUAGUUACCUUCUUAUUUCUAUCAUUUUUCUUAGUGACAAACAUCAAAUUUUAAUAAAAAUGACAUNNNNNNNNNNNNNNNNNNNNNNNNNNNNNNNNNNNNNNNNNNNNNNNNNNNNNNNNNNNNNNNNNNNNNNNNNNNNNNNNNNNNNNNNNNNNNNNNNNNNNNNNNNNNNNNNNNNNNNNNNNNNNNNNNNNNNNNNNNNNNNNNNNNNNNNNNNNNNNNNNNNNNNNNNNNNNNNNNNNNNNNNNNNNNNNNNNNNNNNNNNNNNNNNNNNNNNNNNNNNNNNNNNNNNNNNNNNNNNNNNNNNNNNNNNNNNNNNNNNNNNNNNNNNNNNNNNUCACUGUAACUAUUUUAAACAAAAUUUAUUAUGCAUUUGAGUGGUUUAUGUGCAAAAUUGGACAAUGUAGACUGCAAGAGAUAUUAUAACGAAAUAAUGAAAAUGACGAUAAAAUACAAAUGAGCUUCUAAUUUUAUAUUAAUUCAUACUAAAUUAAUAUACUUCCCAAUGAUGUGUUGUACUGAAUUCUGCAAAUUCAAGUUGUUAGGAGAGUAAUCCCUCUUGAACAGGCUCAAAAACAGAAUUGUAGGAAACAGAUUGUUGUGUGAAUUAAUGAUUGAGUGUUAUGUUCUUUUUCUUUUUUUUCAAUCUUUCUAAUCUCGAGUCAACACGUGUCUCCCCUUGUUUUGAAUCUCUCUCCAAGCUUGUUUAUAUAGCACGUUUGUUGUUAGUAUUUCUUUAAAAGGUGUGAAAAUGGCUAAGAAGUUAUUGUAUUAUUGGGUUGUGUGUAAUAUAUAUUCAUACAUUUUUUUACUUCUGUAGUGAAGCCAUUCUGUUUAUAAUUAGAAUAAUGCCCUAUUUGACCUCCUUUAUUUCAAUUUAUAAUUUUUGGAAUAAUAUUUUUUUUUUCAAAAAUGUGUUAUUAAAAAAGAAUGAAAAGUUUUCGAUUAACGUAUAAUAUUAUUUUAUGGAAGAUUGUGUGGUUAAAAAUAAUAGAGAGAAAAUUAUAAUUUGAAAUAAUGGGGCCAAACCGGGUUAAAUUCUUAUGUUUUUUAAAAGGGGUAAUUACCAAAAAAAAUCCCUAUCGUUUUCACCCCUUGAGAAAAUAGUCCAUAUCAAUUCAAACUUGACCUUCACACUCUCAUUUUAAACCUUUCAUAUAGAGUUGGUCAUUUUCGUCAUGGUCCGUUAAAUUCCAAUUUACUUGAAGGUUCUUGUUGUUCGCCUUAAUUAAGCAAAUCGUCCAUAUCGUUUUAAUUUUGAUAUUUGAUUAACAUUUCUUUAUGUAAGAGGUCCUGAUGAGUUAACAUCCUAAUACUGAACUCAAGCUAUAUGCACUAAAGGCUACCACUUUGUGUUGGAGACUAAUGAAUAUGUCGUUUCUUAUCCUAUCUAAUCAAGACGGACAACAUUGUCACGACUUAAAAAAUUCAAGACAGACAACAUGAUCAAACUAUUUUUAGAUUUGUUUAGCUGACUUGGUAAAAAAAUCCAUGUAAUACUUGCUUCCUCGAUGUUUUUAAUUCUUGAUUUGUAGUAAAUUUUGGUUUAUUUUUCAACUUAUAACAAUUGUUUAUUAAGUGCCCUCUUUUUUUUUUUUUGCAAUGAUUGUAAAAUUUGAACUUGCACGACCACAAUCAACAAUGAGGCCAUCUCCAUGACCCUCAGAUGCUAUAAUAUGCUUUAUCUUCUCCUUUAAAUAUAGAGCAUCAUAUAUUUUGAUGGUUAGAGUAUUACAACUAUAUAAAAUCCUGUCUCUGAACGACAUGUAUAAAGUGGGCAAUGAACAAAAUAAAAUCAUCCCAAAUCUUCUUCAUCAUAUUUGAACUCAAAGAUCUCCUCAUUAGGGAUGAUUUCCUUAAAAGUAGUUCGGUGAUCUUCAAGAAAUGUACAUUUUGUCAUAUGAUGAGAAUAUAGACGUUGCUUCAAAUGCAAUUUGCCAGUAAGAUUCUUUGUCAUACUUAAUUGCUUCAAUUUUAACCAUAAUGCAGCGAUUGACUUUUCCUUCAAGAUGCCAUGAAGAAUAUUAUUUAAAUGAUAAAGAUGUAUUUAAGAUAGGGUCACCUUUCGAUCCCUCCAUUAUUUUUCCUCUGGGGUCCAAGUUACAGGCAUCUUGUCAAAUCCCAAUAACACGUCUUUCAAAUUCAUCUAAGAGAUUACUAUUUGUAUCUUUACCUACAACAAAAGAGAAUCUUAUAUUGUGAUCUAAUAGCGAAACAUCAUACUUCAUUUUUAUCUUUACGAAUCAAAACCUCGAUCGUCCCAAGAAUUUUAAAACCAAAAACUAUGAUACUAGUUUGUUGUGAAACAAAGAUGAUACAUGAUUAAUUUGAUUCCACUUUAUUGAAGAAAUGAAAGAUUAUAGCACAAAUGAAGUUAAGAUCUCAAAGGCACAAGAACAAUGUAAUUUGUAGAGUAAAUGAGUUUUUAUUAUAAUAUGGAGGAAGAAUACAAAGACAUGUGCUUACAAUAUUUCUAACUUAGCCUAAAUCAUAAUGAAGAACCAGUUAUAUAUAGGGAAGAAAUAAGUUAUGCCCAAACCCUAAUAGUAGAGUUAUAGUUAAAAAAAAAAAAAAAAAAAAAAAAAAAAAAAAGGGCAUAGGCUGGAAACACCGUUACUCGAGCGGGUAACUAGUGCUCAGCUAGAAGUGCCCUGGUCCUUGACCAAUAGGCUAGCACAAUGCAAGCUCCAACUUCUCUACAUUUGGCGCUUGAGUGCCCAAAUACGACAAGAAAACCUUUCAUUUCGUCUCAUAAUUUCAGCCUCUUCCUAUCCAACACAAAUUUCAACUCUUAAUAGGACUUCUAAAUAAAAUUUCAACUAGAAUUUGUCAAAUAAACUUAAAUAGAAUUCUACAAUAGCAUUCCAAAUAAAAUUUCUCUAAAAGUGUACUUUAAUUAGAAUUUUUAAUUAUCUUUAAUAAAGAAUUCGGGUCCCAUCAAAAUUCUAACAUGCAUGAAUUAAGAAGUAUACUAAUGUAAUUUUGGGAAGUACAAAAUAGUUCAAUUUUGUAACAAAAAAUUAUAUUAAUUUUAAUAGUAUGAAUUGCCAAAAAAAUAAAGUUUGAUGUAUAUGCAGUAUGUUUUGAAGCAAAAGUAUGUUACGUUAUUUAGACAAAUUAAUCUCUUAUGACUUUGAUUGUGGAUAAAAAAAAACAAACAUAAAAUGUUUGUGUAGACACAUGGAUAUUCUUAGACACUUCGAAAGGAAUUAUGGACAAAGUCGACAAAUGAUAUCUUAACACUGUGUAUUGUCUACUAGACUUUUGCACUCCUAAUAAAAUGUGUUUUUGCGGCUGGAGUCUUUUGGAUCCUGUUAUUCUGCCUAUAUUACGGUUAAUUCAGUUAGCUAAUUAGGUAUAAUUUUCAUCCAAGUCAACAAAUCUAUUUACCAUUUACGCAACUUUCGGGAAAUGCACUUGAGAUUCAGAUACAGCUAUUAGUUUUAACAGCUUAAAAGUCAUCACAUAAAUUAGGUACAUUUGGUAAGUAGUAUUCUUAUUAUGAAAAAAUAAAUUAAAUAUUUUAUAUUAUACUGUAUAAAUUAUUUUGUAUUAUCUACAAAACAUGUUCUUAAAUGGUAUUAAGAAUUUAUUUAGUGACAAAUUCGGUGAUGGAUCUAGAAAUCCUAGUGAGUACGGAUGGCCACCCAAUAUAAGGAAAAGAAAUUUUUCGAUGGAGCUAGCACGAGCGGCCACAAGGGCUCAUCGAGUACCAACUCCGCCCCUAAUGACACUGAACAAAUGCAUUAAGUAUUUAUUAUUAUUAUUAUUAUUAUUAUUUAUUUUUGUUGAAAAUUGGAUGGCUCUAUAAAGAGAUUAUCGACACAUUUCAACUAAGCCUGUAAAGCUAAUAUUAGGACUUGAUGUGCAGUGUAUUAGGGCUAAUUAUUGGUUGGUAAAUCUACACUGAGUCGAUAGAAAGGAUUGUUGUAGUCAAGCUUGACUAGGAUUGGUUAUUCGCGAAAUAUUCUUAAAUCGAUGAACAAAUAUGGUUCUGAUAUGGUUUAAUUUAUCAUUGUACACUCUCUCUUGAAGGUUUCUUGCAUAGUGACGGACUUAUCUAUGAGCCCCUAGAUUAGGCUUCUUCAAAUUGGGUCAACAAUAUCCUAUCUUAUUUACGAUUUUGCAUUUGGUGUUUGGUUUGAUUUACUUUUGUUUGUGGUCUUUGGGUCAAAAUACCCAACAAGGCCUAUUCCAGUAUUGAAACUACUCAUGUUUUACCAACCCAUCAUGUUCUCUAGUCAUAAUUUUUUUAGAAUAAUUUUUUGAAGAAUAGCGCGCGAAAGUGUAAUAGGCACAUGAGCCUCUUUCCAUCACCCAUAUUCGUGCAUUGCUUUUUUGGCUGGUGAUGUCUAUGAAUAAUUUUUAGUGUUUUAGAUUAGCAUUCAAUUUUCAUUUUCCUUAUAGAAGUCGUAUUUUCAGAUUUGUUAUCACCUUAGUUGUCAUUAAUUGAAAAACUCCAUCGGCAGUUAACUUAUAAAAUAAAUAUAUCCCCUAAUUGGAUAUUGAUUUAGCAAUAUACUACCUGUUGAUGUCAAAAUUAGCAAGGAUAAUUUUGAACCAACUUUAAGAAAAAAAAAGCGAUUUAUGCUUAAAAAAGACCACAAAGAUGUCAUUUUAGUGUGAUUGUGCCAAAGUCGUUAUAUGAAUUCGCUCCCCUAUUACAAGAGUCCUAUUCAAUUAUUUAUACAUAAUUUCAUCGAAAUUACAUCAAAUCAGUCAAAUCAGCAACAGUGCCGAGCUCGAAACUCGGGUCGCCAAAUUCUCCUGUGAUUGGUCAAUGAGGCCGAUGGUCACGUGUCAAUGUAUUGCCCAGGUAAUGAUGACCUGUAAGGGGCUGGAGUUCGAGGACUUGGAAUUGGUUAUUCCGGGCGGCGAUGACGUCACAUGUGGCAAGUGUAUCUGAUUGAUAGUGUGAUGAGACAAGGGGCAUCAUGAUGUUUUCUUAAGAUAACGGCGUGUAACUCCGACCUGGGGUUGUGGGCUGAACUUACGUUUAACUGAGGUGGGGUUAGCAAGCUGUUUAUACUAGAUCGGAGUUCGGAUGUCAACAGUUACCCCCCGGGUCAGCUCUACCGUAGGGGGGCUGUCCUCAGUGAUGCUUUCUCCAAGAAGUACAUUUAUUGCUGUGACAAGUGUCAUCUUUUGAGGUGGAUGAGCUGUACGCCAUUUAUAAGUAGCUUCUUCAGCAAGUUUGGCUAAAACUACGUCGUUUUGUCUCUCAAACUUUUGAACUGUUGAUAUUUUCCCUCCAUUUCUGGAUGAAUGGCUCAGAUUGCGCCCUCUCAUCUUCUUUUUCUUUAAAUCCCUUUUUGGCCAGUCAUUUCUCCUCCUAUUUCGCUAGUUUUACUUUCUCAAAUAUUUGGGUGAUUUCCUGAGUUCGUAUUUCCGUAUUCGAGUGAGGUCGUCUUCCUAGUUCGUUUCCCAGGUAUCCUUCUGUUCUUAUCUACUGCCUCCUUUCAGUUUGUGCUUUGUUUCCUAGUUUAUACAUGAGUUCGGACGAGUCUGAGUUCAUUCCUGGGACAACCAGCAGGAAGAGUCAGUAUCCUUCUCGACGAGUUCGUCUUCUAGUUGUAGGGAAGUUUUUACCCCCAUUCCUAUUUUCGUAAUUAACCCGACUGACUUAGGGCGUCCUGUCAUAGACUUAGGAUGUGAGGGUUCCAAGGAAGCAGGUAGAUCCAGUAAGGAUGUUGAGGAGAGUAAUUCUAAAGAGUGGGGGUGAGUUCUUAUAGGUCGGUUGUGACAGGGGAUGUGUUAGCCAGCUGGCGAGCUAAAUACGCCAUCCCUAGUUCGGUAGUUAUGAUAAUACCAGAGCCAUUUGACCAAGCUGACACUCCUCCUAAGGGAUGUGUUGCUCUGAACUUGACUAUCCUUCAGGCCGAUCUUAGGCUUCCUUUUCCUAGGGUAAUUCGUAAAUUCCUUCCUUCCUGGGGCAUAGCUCCCAUGCAGCUAUGCCCUAACGGGUGGUGAACCUUAAUAGCCACCCUUAUUCUGUGGAACCAAAUGGGAAAUCCCAAGCUAAGUGUCCAACAAUUCGAUUCUCUGUUUACUUUUAAGGAGGAUGGGAAGAACUUGGGUUGGUAUUACACAAGCGUUAGGCCUAAGACGGGAGGCUCUCUGGUGUUAGACACCCCUUCCUCAAUUAAGAAAUGGAAGGAAGAGUGGUUCUAUGUAUUGGGGGAGUGGCAGUUUCAUUCUGCCGAGGUGAAUAGGGAGGACGUGGUUCCCAGGUUCUAUCAUUCAUUAUGUAAGUGCCUUUUUGGGUUUUAGUCUUUUAGCAAGGCGCAUGUUGACGAAGUACUAACCUCGGUAUUUUUUUCUUUGUGCAGAUUACAAGAAAGAGACGUUAACUAAAGAUACACAGAGAUGAGCUGAGGUAAUAAGAUCAUUACCUAAAAAGCAAAGGUCCUGUAAGUUCGUAAUCUCAUAUUCGAACUUAUACCAGGCCGGAUUGUUGCAAGUACAAGCUUCAAGUUCGGUUCCAUCCAGUUCAUGCAAUAUUUUGACCUUCAUUCGCUUGUGAUUUCUUUAUGUAUAUACAUAUUUAUUGAGCGUUUCACUGCUUUCUCAGAUCAUCAGGACGAGAUACGGGGCUACAAGGCAACAAAGGCGGCGGCUGCGGCCGAGGGAAAGAAGAGAGAAGUCCCAGAACGGAUGGAGAGCCGUUCGAAGAGGUGGAGGAUGAGGUUCCAUUAAAGAGGAACCGAUCUGUGCCCCUGGCAUCACUGAGAAUUCCUGAGGCAGUGCCUUUGCCAAGCCUGACCAUGUCGUCUCUUUCAUUACCAUCCCCAACUACCCAUUCUACUGUCUAGAUUAGUUCUGCAAACUUGCAAGAUCGGUGCUCAGAUUUACAGAGGCCGAGCUGGGAAAGUUUGGUGGGACACAGACCAGAAAUAUUUUCAGACUAUCUCCGAGCUCCUUCUCCCUCCAGGGGAAUGACUGCCGCGCUCACUUCACCUUUGAGGGAGUUGGCCAAUCUACUUACCCGGAGCUGGGGUGAGAGAAAGCAGGGCUAUCUGAAUGAGAUGCCCAUUGGUGAGGCCUUGGUCACUGUUCAGCUCCAUGAUCACCGGUCAGUUUUAUACAUGAUGGCAGUGGCGAAUAAGGUAUACCUCUUACUUGAAUUUUGAUCAAUUUUAUAACUGUUUUAAUGACUUACUUAAUUUUUGAUUUUUGAAAAAUAGAUGAAGUCUGAGCUGGACAAACUCAUAGAGGCAAAGGAUUAGGCCUUCAAUCUUUACAACAGCAUGGAGGCUAAAAAGGCCCAGUUCACUUUGACGGAGAAGGAGUAUGAAGAAAAGCUGAACUAGAUGGGGAUCGAGCUAAACUCCAGGCUCGAUGUCGAGGAGAGAUUGAUGGAAGAGAUCAAGGCCUUGAAGGCCUCGGAGGAGGAGGCCAGAGCUCAGGCAGAAAAGGAGCGCGGCAAAGUCAGAGAGGUCAUCCAGAAGGUACAAGAGGCCAACGAAAGGGCAAGGCAGGCCACCAAAAGGGCUAAAGCGGCUGAGGCCAAGAUUGACAGAGUGGUGGAGGCCUGGAAGGAGUCCUCCGAGUUUGACGUUGUAGCCCAGGAUGUCUACGUGGUAACACUGGAGGAGUUGGUGGGGGCACAUCAGGAAGGAGAGGCCUGAUUUUGAUGUGACCUUUUGGAUGAGGCACUGGAGGGGCAGAAGGAGGAGUUGCAGAGAUUGUUAGAGUCUGCUAGAGUCUGGGUAUUACCAGUAGCUCAGGAUGUUGAAGAUACUACCCCAGCCUCCCAAGACCCUUAGGCGGUUAAAAACAUUGAUUUUUGGUAUUUAGUUUUGCCAUAUGUUUUUGGCUUACGAAUGAACUUUGGUUUGGCUGUUUAUGACAUUUUAUUUAGAAUAGAUAAUUGUUUAUGAUAAGUACUUUUUUUUUUAGCAAUUCCUCAUAAACUUAGCUAAAUUUGUAAGAGCGUUACAAUAGCAUGUUGAAUUAUCUUGAAUGAAUUUUACUUAGUUAUGCAGUACUUGCUUUCCAAACCAGGUACCACGUACGGCCUUAGCUCGUCCUGCGUGUAGAGUGGGGCUUUAUAGAUUCCUUAGGAAGUUUUUUUUUACUAAGUGUCGCAGCACAUACGAUCUUAGAUCGGCCUACGUAUGGAGCAGGGCUUUAUGAGAUUCCUUAGGAGGAAUUUUCCACUAAGUGUCGUAGCACAUACGACCGUAGAUCGGCUUGCGUAUGGAGCAAGGCUUUAUGAGAUUCCUUAGGAGGAAUUUUUCACUAAGUGUCGCAGCACAUACGACCUUGAAUCGGCCUACAUAUGGAGCAAGGCUUUAUGAGAUUCCCUAGGAGGAAUUUUUCACUAAGUGUCGUAGCAUAUACGACCUUAGAUUGGCCUGCGUAUGGAGCAGGGCUUUAUCAAAUUCCUUAGGAGCAAUUUUUCACUAAGUGUUGCAGCACAUACGACCUUAGAUCAGCCUACAUAUGGAGUAGGACUUUAUAAGAUUCUGAUAGAUUGCUGAGUAAAAUGUUCAAAUAAUGGAAAGUCCCUUUUUAUUGAUGUGAUUGACAUUACAAGGGGGCUUUUUCCAUUCACUGGUAGUACUGCAUAAGGUGUUCGGCAUUCCAAGGAUGGGGUAAGGACCUACCCCCCAAGUCUUCCAGUUCAUAUGCUCCUUUUAGCAGGACCUUCGUUAUCAGAUAGGGACCUUCCCAAUUCGAAUCUAGGCAUCCACUGCCGAUCUCUCUUGUGGGGAGGAAUACCUUCCGUAAGACGAGGGAUCCUACCUCAAAUUCUUUUUUUCGCACUUUUUGAUUAUAGUACUUGGCGCUCCAUUGUUUGUAAACGGCAUUUUUGAGUUCGGCGUUGUUCCUUUUUUCCUCCGUUAGGUCGAGUUCCGUGCGAAGAGCUAUGUGAUUCCUUUCUUCAUCGUAAUCAGUUAUGAGCAGCAAAGGAAUGUUGAUUUCUAGUGGGAUCACGGCCUUAUGCCGAAAGCCAGUGAGAACGGGUUACAGUAGUACGAUAAGACCAUAACACACUGGGGAGUUCUUCGGCCCAUCCUCCUUUAAACAAGUCAAGUUUUACUUUCAAUGUGUGCUUAAUAAUCUUGUUAAUGGCUUCGACUUGGUCAUUUACCUGUGGAUGAUUUGGUGAUGAGAAAUGUUUCUUGAUGUCGAGCUCUUUGCAGAAAUCCGAAAGUCGUGCGUUGUCGAACUGUUUUCCAUUAUCCGUAACAAUGGAGUGCGAUAUGCCGAACCUGCAGAUCACUGAUUUUCACAAAAAGUUGGUUGUUUUCUGUUCGGUGAUGGUGGCAAGGGACUCUGCCUUGACCCAUUUAGUGAAGUAAUCCACUGCGACGCUAGCAAAUUUUACCCUUCCUUUUCCAAUAGACAUGGGUCCAAUUAGGUCGACCCUCCAUUUUACAAAGGGCCAAGGUGAUGUUACUGGGUUCAGUUCACGCGGUGGAGUAUUUAUGAUGGGGGCAAGGCACUGGCACUUAUCACAUCUUUUGACAAAUUCAAGGAAAUCUCGUCUUAUUGUAGACCAAAAGUAUCCUUGUCAUAUGAUCUUGUGGGCUAGUGAGAGUCCACCGGAAUGGUUUCCACAUAUUCCUUCGUGAACGUCCUACAGGGCAUGCUGAGCUUCCUCUUCGUUCAAGCACCUUAACAAGGGCGUAGAAUAUCCCCAUUUGUAUAGUAUAUUAUCAAUGAGAGUGUACCUGGCCGACCUUGUUCGGAGCUUUCUAGCCUCUGCAGAGUUUUCGGGAUAUUUUUCGAUUUUCAGGUAAGUGAUGAUCUCGUCCUGCCAAGUUGGUUUGGGGUCUAUCACCAUAAGGACCACUUUAUCCAGCUCAGUGGACGAUAGGGAUAUUCUUCCCAUGGGGAUGCUAUCGAACUCCUCGAUUCCCUCACUGGUGGUUAGGCGGGCCAGUGCAUCGAUGUGAUUGUUUUGAGAUCGGGGAAUUUGUUUGACUUGGGUGGUGUUGAACCUUUCAAGUUCUUUUUUCACAACUCGUAGGUAGUUGUCCAUCCUGUUUUCUUUCGCUAUAUAUAUGCCGUUGACCUAAUUUACGACUAGUUGGGAGUCGCUGUGUAGGAUUAGGUCGGAGAUCCCUAGUCCUGAGGCCAUUUUUGCUCCAGCAAUGAGAGCUGCGUACUCAGCCUCAUUAUUUGAGGCUUUGAAGUCAAAUGGCAAGGCUUCGCAGAAUAUGCGGUGAUCAGGGUUGAUUUAUACGACGCAGGCUCCAGAUUGUUCUCCGGUGGAUGAACCAUCGACAUAAAGUUUCCAAGGCGUUUCUUUCCGUUGUUCUUCAAUUGGGACGUUGCAGAACUCAGAGACAAAGUUGGCGAGUGUCUGGACCUUUAUGGAGGAACGAGGCGUGUAUUUGAUGGCAAAUUGUCCGAGUUCUACUACCCAUUUUACCAUCCGUCCAGAGGUGUCGGGCCUUUGUAGCGUUUAUCUUAAUGGAGAGUUGGUAAGGAACUCAAUGGGGUGUUCCAAGAAAUAUGGCCUCAAUAUUCGCGCUGCCAUUAGUAGGGUGAAUGCCAACUUUUCUACAAGGGAAUAUCUAAUCUCGGCUUCGUGAAGCACUUUGCUUAUGUAAUAAACUAGAUGUUGAACGUCAUUUUCUUCUCGGGUAGAACGACACUAAUGGCAUGCUCUGAAAUAGAUAAAUAUAGCUUCAGGGCCUCGCCUGCCUUAGGUUUUGAAAGCAACGGAGGUCGGGCUAGUUGUCUCUUUAGUUCGUUAAAGGCGUCCUGGCAUUCUUUGGUCCAUUCAAACUUCUUUCCUCCUCGUAAUGUGUCGAAGAAGGGUUUGCAGUGGUCCGUAGAUUUGGAGACAAACCGACUGAGGGCGGCAACCCUUCCGGUUAAACUUUGUACCUCUCUAGGUUUGGUUGGAGGCUUCAUUUGGAUGAUAGCUUGUAUUUUUUCAGGGUUUGCCUCAAUUCCUCGGUUGUUUACAAUGUAACCUAGGAAUCUUCCAGAACUGACCCCGAAAGCGCAUUUCCUCAGGUUCAACUUUAUUCCAUACUUCCUCAGUAUAUCAAACAUUUCAGUUAGGUGUUGACAGUGGUCCCUGGCCUUGAUGCUUUUGGCCAGCAUAUCGUCAACAUACACUUCCAUUGUCUUUCCAUUCUACAGGGAAAACAUGGAAUUCACAAGUGGCUGGUAGGUGGCGCCAGCGUUUUUGAGACCGAAUGGCAUUACUCUGUUGCAUUAAAGACCUCGUUCAGUUACAAAUGAGGUAUGUUAUUGAUCCGGGCCGUACAUCGGUAUCUGGUUGUACCCGGAAUACACGUCCAUGAAGCUUAGUAGCUCAUGUCCGGUGGUGGCGUCCACCAUUUGAUCUAUUCUUGACAAUGGAAAGCUGUCUUUGGGGCAUGCUUUGUUGAGAUCGGUGAAAUCUAUGCAUACCCUCCAAUCUUCGUUGUGUUUUUUUACAAGGACCAAAUUCGCGACCCACUUCGGGUAUUUCGCUUCAAGGAGGAAGCCGUUGUUCAACAGCUUUUGCACCUCUUUGUUGAGUGCUUCAUAUCUUUCAGGGUUCAAGGGUCGUCGAUUUUGCUGCUUUAGCCGAACUAAAGGAUCCACCUAUAAUUUGUGGCAUGCAAUAUUAGGAUCUAUUCCUCUCAUGUCACUAUGAUCCCAGGCGAAGACAUCGAGGUUCUGUUUAAGGAAAGCCACAAUCUUGCUUCGGGUGGAGGACUGCAACUCCCACUCGACUUUGAGCUCCUUUGUUUGGUCCUUAGCGUAGACUCAAACUCCUUCUAGUUCUUCAAUGGGUUCUCCGCCUUCGAUCCUGGUCUGUGGGUCUAAGGGAAUGAGUUCGGAUUCCCAUAUGUUUACCAUAUGUACUUCCGGGGAGUUGCGUUAAUGGCUGGCACAGGUUUUCCAUUGACAUCUUUCAGCGAACUCCCUGUUUCCUUUGACUUCCUCUACACCCCACGGUGUGGGGAACUUGAUAGAAUAGUGAUAUAGGAAAACUGCUGCUCUCAGGCUGAAGAGUAGGGACUGUCCCAUCACAGCGUCAUAAGGGGAGGGGAUAUUGAACACCACGAACUCGGAGUUCGUCUUCACCUGCCGGGGUACUGAUCCAGACUCAACUUUGAGUUUGAUUGAUCCUUUGGCGGAAGUCAAGGCUCCACUUAAUCCUAGGACCAUAUUUGGGUACGGUUGAAGAAAGUUAGCAGGGAUGCCCAUCCAUUUAAAGGUGUUGCUAAAUAGGAUGUUCAGAGAGCUUCCUAUAUCCACCAAGACUUUAGGGAUGGUUACCCCGACCACAGGCAACGAGAUUACCAUAACUCUGUGGUAAGGAUGUGGGUCCGCCUCCUUCUUGUCAAAGGAUAGUUACUCAUCUGUGGCUUUUUUGAGAUUCUUUUCCGUUAUGCCGAUCUCCGAGAGAUCGACAUAAAUUGGUCUCUUUGGUCUGGCUUCCUUGGCUUGUGUGUUCGUCAUAUUCCUUAGUAUGUUGACUUGUGGCCUUGGCAGGUCGACGUUGCAGGCCUUUACAGUGGCUUGAUCUCCUUGGAUAAUUCCAGUCCCGUAAGGGGUGGGAAAUUUCACGCAAUAAUGAUAAAUUAAUGUGGCAGCCUUUAGUUCGUGCAAAAUGGGCCGUCCCAAUAUUACAUUGUAAUUGGACGGUAAAUCGACCGUCACAAAAUCCGCUAGGAUUCUUCUUUGGCAAGGAACUUCGCCCAGCUCCACAAUAAGGACUAUCUGACCUAGGGCUUCGAUAGGAUCCCCAGAAAAUCCCUGUAGCUUCCUUGGAUAUUGUUAGAGGUAGCGGACUGAUAUUUCCAACUACUUCAAAGUUCGUGAGUAUAGUAUGUUAACUGAACUUCCAUUGUCUACUAGAGUGCAGUGGACUUUUACUCCGGCAACCAUCAUUGUGACCACCAGGGCGUCACUCUGGUCUUGAAGGAUUCCUUCAGAAUCUUUUUCUGUAAACCAAAAUGAUUCAGGGUCUAUGCUGGUCUUAGGGGUUUGAUUCUAGUAGUUCGGCACGGUUUUUACACUUCAGGCCUGCCUUCGUCUGGCCCUUCUUGAUCCUUUAAUAUACUGAUUUUCGCCCAUCAUCAUUUUGAUUUCGGCAUGUGGAGGUGGGUUACGGUUAGGGAUUACCUGCUGGGCUCAUGUGGGAGCCCCCUGUAGCAGUGGCUGUUGUGUCAUAGGUCAAGCUGCUUCUUUUGGCUUGGCAACAAACUCCGGUAACCGACCUCUUCGAAUUAAGGUUUCAACUUCCUCUUUUAAGUCUCGACAGUUAUCAGUGUCAUGGCCCAUCGUCCUGUGGUAUCGGCAGUAUCAUCCCUGGCACUAUGUGGCCUGUCCAUCCUUUAGGACUAUAGGUAUGCGAAAUGCUUCUUUUGUAUUAGCUUGCGUGAAUAUCUCUUCCAAGGAAGCUUUGAGCGGGUGGUACUCCCGGAACUUGUAUGGCUGAGCCUUGGGACGUUCUCUUUCUCUCCUGUCAUUCUUUCUUUCUGGCUAGGGACUGUGGCUUGGUUUUUUUUCUUUCACCACAUCACUGAGGUCAAUUUCGUGUCUUGCUUCUUCUUGGUCAGAGGUUGCUUCUUCAGCGCUUAUGUAUUUUUCAGCUCGAUUCAAGAACUCGUGAUAAGUUAUUGGGCCGUCCUCGUGUACUGACUACCAGAAUCUCAUUUUGGGUCUUAGUCUUGCUAAUGUGGCCAUGAGUGACGCAUCGUCAGAUAUUUUUUCCACUUCCAUGGAUUGCUUGUUGAACCUACUUAGAUAGUUUUUGAGGGAUUCACUUCUUCCCUGCUUGAUGCUCACUAGACGUUCUUUAGGUGUAGUUCUAGCCUUGGAGCCCAUAAACUAGGCCAAGAAUGCAGUGGCUAGAUCAUUCUAAUCCUUUACCGACCUUUCGUGUAGUCUCCUAAACCAUCUUUGGGCUUUGUCUUCUAGAGUCAGGGGAAAUGCCCGGCACAUGAUUGCAUUGCUUGCCCCCUAUAGUUCCAUCCACGAUGUGUAUUUGUCAAGGUAGUUGAGGGGAUCACCAUCCCCUUCGUAUGUGGCGAUCUGGGAAACUUUCAAUUUUUCAGGUAGUGGUUCUAUAAGGACAUCCUCAGUGAAGGGAGAAUGUCGUUUGGUUUGGUAACCUUCAGUGCCACCUUUGUUUUUAGCCUCCAGUUCGACGAUGCAUUUUUUAAGCACGCUCAGUUUGGGUUUUGUUUGUUCCAAGGGACGUUUCAGGUCGGUUUGUCCUUGCGUAGGAGUCAGCGAGUGAUGGAUCCCCAACCUGUCGAACACACUUGCAGUCCUUCUCGCCUUGGGUUCGUUGUUUUUGGCCUCGUGGCUUCUUGAUGAUUCUCCUCUUGAAAAGUGGAGGGUCCUCCUGGUGGGGGGACGCUUUGUCUUUGUCCUUACAGGGUAUUCCACCUCAGUAUCUGGUGGGGAUGAAUGGGCUUGGCUCCUUUCCAGUCGUUCCACUGCAUUUGUCAGUUUUUCUAGGGCUUCCCUCAUUGCGAUCAUUUGAGGGUCCUGCCGUUGUGGAGUACUCAGUGGUAUAUUCGUUUCAUGAGGGUGAGUGUGAGAUGGAUUUCUGGAACUUGAGCUAUGACUCAUGGCUCUUGAAAUUUUUAUGGAGCAGAUGAAACUGUUUUUCACAAUUAGGGGCCCUCCUUCUAGUGCCAAACUGUUGAUGUCAAAAUUAGCAAGGAUAAUUUUGAACCAACUUUAAGAAAAAAGUCGAUUUAUGCUUAAAAAAGACCACAAAGAUGUCAAUUUAGUAUGAUUGUGCCAUAAGUUGUUAUAUGAAUUCGCUCCCCUUUUACAAGAGUCCUAUUCAACUAUUUAUACAUAAUUUCAGCCGAAAUUACAUCAAAUCAGCAACAGUACCAAGCUCGGAACUCGGGUCACCAAAUUCUCCUAUGAUUGGUCAAUGAGGCCGGUGGUCAUGUGUCAAUGUAUUACCCAGGUAAUGAUGACUUGUAAGUGGCUGGAGUUCGAGGACUUGGAGUUGGUUGUUCCGGGCGGCGAUGACGUCACCUGUGGCAAGUGUAUCUGAUUGAUAGGGUGAUGUAACAAGGGGUAAUCAUGAUGUUUUCUUAAGAUAACAGUGGGUAACUCCGACCUAGGAGUGUGGGCUGAUCUUACGUUUAACUGAGGUGAGGUUAGCGAACUGUUUAUACUAUAUCAGAGUUCGGAUGUCAACAAUACCCAUGUGAUAAGUGGAUAUCAGAUUACAGCAAGUACAAAGCUUUUGUUUUUAACUAUCAUUCAUAUGAAAACUUUGAUUUCUUGAAUCGAAUACAAAUUUUCUUUACUCAUUAUAUUCUUACCAUAGCUCGAUUUAUGUAUAUGGCCUAUAUUCUUGUUUAAGUAUGAAUACUGUAAAUAAUUUUCUAAAGAGACAAGCAGCUAUUUGGCUCAACUGAGCCGGAAGACUUCCCAAUGGCGUUAAUGCAUGGCGAAUGAGCCGGCUCAUUUUUAUAGGUCAGCUUAACAUCUUCCAAGGUAAUAUCACUGCAUGGAUUUCCUUUGCUGCAGUCAAAUUUCACUGCAGUUUCUGUUGCUGAACUCCCAUGUAUGUCUUGAUAUGUUACAUCACUAAUCUUCACGCCUGAAACCUGA